GACGAACGCUGGCGGCGUGCCUAAUACAUGCAAGUAGAACGCAGUUGGGAACGGGGGAGUAACGCGUAGGUAACUGCCUCAUAGCGGGGGAUAACUAUCGGAAACGAUAACUAAUACCGCAUACAGUGGGAUGGACCUGCGUUGCAUUAGCUAGUUGGUGAGGUAAAGGCUUACCAAGGCGACGAUACAUAGCCGAACUGAGAGGGGGAUCGUGCAAACCUGGACUGAGACACGGGCCAGACGCCUAAGGGAGGCAGCAGUAGGGAAUCAUCGGCAAUGGAGGGAAGUCUGACCGAGCAAAGGCGCCGGAGUGAAGAAGGUUUGUGGAUCGGUAAGCUCUGUUGUUAGAGAAGCGGUAACUAACCAGAAAGGGACGGCUAACUCCGUGCCAGCAGCCGCGGUAAUAC
rnacentral:rRNA from 1 species